GUCUGUUUUCCUCCCUUCAUGUUAUGUCAAGUUUUCAGCUAAAUAAAUGGCUGGUCUUUUCUGCUCUGUCUCUUCCGUGUCUGCACUUGGGUCUGCAUUAUAAACACACCGCCUCUCAGCCGGGCUGAAGGAACUGAAGCAGAUGUGGAAAUGUUGCAGAAUCACAUGGAUGAAUUUAACAACUGGACACAGUCGAAGCGGGAUGGUUGGCAGGAGGAGAUCUCACUCUGUGUUUCUCUGCCAGUGGUAGAGGUGGAACCAGAUCAAGUGGAGCUGAAAAGCCUCAAGUCAGAGCUGGACUGACCUUUUCUCACCAGGUACUGAUGAGCCCGCUGUGGAGAAACAUCAUUGAUUAUAUUUGUGAGUCCAAACUUGACUCUGGUAACUUUAAUACAGUAUAGAAAAAGUGUCAUAAUAAUAAUGUUAUUAUUGUGAUAAUAACAUGAACAGAUGUAUUUAUGUCAUUAUCUUUGAGCUUUUACACUUAAUUAUAAAAACAUGAGUAUAAAAGGUGUUAAAACCCUGAUGCUGUCUUGGAAUACUGCAAUUUUGCUCAUGUAAUUACAACAUUUACUCUUUAAAAGAACAAAUCAUACAUGUAUC